AUACGUCCAUGGGAUUUGGAGACCCCUGAAAAGCAACCUAUCCUCCAAAGCGACAGAUGACAGCGCGCAGCCCGUCCCCCGGGGAGGACCAAGGCAGGUUAGAGCCGCUUUUAGGUCAAAGCAGCAAGAGCACACCAAACCCCCCCUCCGCCCCAAAUUACAGACACGAAGCAUGACUGCAAUUCUAGCAGAGAUCGUGUUUCCAAAUUGGCAGAGCAGGAAGGAAUCUCGCAUUCCCACAGCAUCUCUCAGCCAGCCCCGGGAUCCCAGAGGACUUUGGCGAACUGCAUACAGUCAUCCCCGGGGCAGGCACUUGUGGGACGGGACAAACCACACGUUUAACGGUUCACGAAACGCCGGCCGAGAGAAGGGACCACGGCAGGACUCUGAGAGGCAGCACAAAGCAAUCAAAUUGCAUUUCACGGCAGCAGCAGGGACUGCCUUCCCUCUACAUUUCAACGCGCUCUUCCAGAGCCAAGCAGAGCACUUUGUUUCUGCAGCCUACCUUACCCCAGGCAUUUUCUCCGCUUUCAUUGUGCAAGCUCAGCACAGAGCCGUGUCACUCCCUACCCUCACGGUUCCCCUCCGAGACAGCCCCGAGCCCAGCAGCAGCCCCUGGACGGCCGCUCGCCUUCCCAAGUUGCAGCCGGAGCCCGCCCGGAGCCCGGGUCCCCUGUGCUCCCGCCGCUCCCACGCCCCGGCCGGAGCCCGGGGCACGGCGAGGAGCGGCCACCGGGUUAUUGCGGCUGGACAUGAAACCCUCAUUUAUUUAACACACA